UAUUCCCACACACGCGUGCGCUAUCUCACUAUCUCACUCUCUCACGCAGACAACCCACCACAGCUCCUGCCAUCUCUCCCUCCAGCCUCUCUCCGCCCAGCCCAGCCCAGCCUUGUCUCCCCUUCUUCCAGGCUUGUGUGGUGAUUUUCGGUGCGGUUGGGUGCCGUGGGUGGCUCGUGUGGUGGGUUUCGGCGUGGCUGGGUCGAUCGGUUCAGUGGAAUUCAGGACAACAAUGUACUAAUUUCCUUCGUAAUUUAAUUUAACACUGCCAUUCAGAAUUCAAAAGCUUAAUAAAAGUGAGAGAGAGAGAGAGAGAUAGCUGUAUCGACUAUCGAGUAGACCUUGUCAUCCCUGACAAUGGAAUUCAGUACAGCAAGCGAUUGCAAGUAUUCAUGCGACACAGCUGCACAUACUCUCCACUGGAUCAACGCCAUCAUCCACUUCCUUAAACCCUUCACUUUCUUCAUGCACGCCCACGUCGUCAAUUUCUUCAAGGAUAGACUAUGGGAAUCUGUUGAUAAAGAAUGGAUGGAUUGUCUACGCAAUGAACCUAUUGAAAAUCUUCUCCUCAUUCCCUCUGGAGUUGUCCAGGAUCACUGGCCUGCUUCACUGAAGGAUUUUAUAGUGACUUUGAGGUCUCUUGUGUUUCCAAGAGAGCAGGCGGACUUACAGACGGUAUUACCUGGUCUGCAUGUAAUUUCACUUAAUAGCGUUCUUGCUCAAGGCAUGAAUAUGAAGAAAAAACAUGAAGUUGAAGUUCUUUCUGCUGUUGUUAAUUCGAUUGCUGACAGUGCAAGAGGUCAUACCAUUGUUGAUGUUGGUGCUGGCCAGGGUUAUCUUGCACAAGUUCUUUCCUUUCAGUACCAACACUCUGUAGUUGCAAUUGAUGCAUGUUCUCAUCAUGGAAGCAUCACAGAUGCACGUGCAGAACGAAUUAAGAAGCAUUAUGCAGCUCAGAUGCGUAAAUCUGAAACUGGAAACUGGAGUUUGAAUGUGCCUAAGACAAUCACAUGCCGGGUAAUGUCUAUUGGCAUGUUGAAAGCCUUGACUGGCAUGUCUCUUCAUAAAGAUGAUGCUGAGCAACUUAGACCGUUUGAAGAAGAUAAUGCACAACUUGAAGGAGAAAAAUUAAAAUCUUCAUGCAAUGCAAACAAUGAUACUUCUUUGGUCCUUGCUGGACUUCAUGCUUGUGGAGAUCUUUCAGUGACAAUGCUAAAGACCUUUUUGGACUGCAAAGAAGUUAAAGCUAUUGUUAGCAUUGGCUGUUGUUACAACUUAUUGUCGGAAGAGGGUAUCGACAAAACUGAAACUCAAUGUGGAUUUCCAAUGAGUGCUGGUGUUAAGUCUGCAGGCUUUUCACUUGGAAAAAAUUCGCGUGAUCUUGCUUGCCAGAGUGCAGAGAGAUGGAGAGGUAUGGAAAAAGAUGCCGGCCUUCACAAUUUUGAGUUGCAUUGUUUUCGUGCUGCUUUCCAGAUGGUUCUUUGUAAAUAUUAUCCAGAAGUCAUGAUAACAAAUCCUUCUAUUGGUCGUCAAGGAAAGACUUUGCGUCGCCGACAGCAUAGGAAAGUGGAGUAUCCAUUGAAUCAUAAAGAAAUUGCGUGUCCAUCCUUGCAUUCAAACACGAAAGGAAGUUGCUGUAACAUAGAACCUAAAGAACUGGAAACAGAUAAAAACUCAGGCUUGGCAUUGGACACAGAUGUCUUAUUUCAUGGACAUUCUUCCAGUAAGAGUACAAGAUGUGAAGGGCCUAAAUCUGUUGACAAAUAUGCACUUUUUGAGAAGUUCAGCCAGUCUGGAUUGUGUCGUCUUGGUCUCAAACCUUCCCAGGAUAUAAAGUUCCAUGAAAUAUGGAAGGAAGCAGAGCCAUUUGCAGAACUCAUAGGACCUUACUGGUCUCUUCGAGCUGCUUUGGGGCCUCUUUUAGAAACUUUUCUUCUGCUUGAUAGAUUACUAUUCCUCCAGGAGCAAGGCAGUUCAUUGGAAGUGAUCAUGUUGCCUAUUUUUGAUCCAGAGGUAUCCCCAAGGAACGUGGCCAUAAUUGCAAAAAAGAUUUUGACACAAAUAUGACUCCUUAGGCAAGGGAGAUCAAGAAAAAAGAUUAUGCAAUGUGAGAAAAGGGGUCUUUCGUAAAGCAUAGAAACAUUGCUUAUUGGAAGGUUGUGUGACAUAGCAUUAUGUGGUGUCUUUGGCAAGAACGGAAUUCCAAAAAUUUUGAGGGAUGUGAACGGAAUAUCCUAGACAUUAAAGCCUUCUUCUUCCGUACUUUGUUGGAUUGGAGUGCUGCUUCUCUCUCUCUCCCCCUUGUUUUUCUCUCUUGCACUUGUUUGAUCAUUGUUUUUUUCUAAUAAAAUAUUUUGUUACUUAUAAAAAAAAGGAUUCUUAAGGCUUUUAGAGAACAGUUAACUUGCAUGCAGAUUAUAGCAUCUUGUAAGUAAUUUGUAAAGCCCCAGUAUUUCAUUAUUUGUCAAAUUUGAAUCAGUUUAUUUCUCUUGUCAGAAAGAUUUCUAAAAAUUACAGACAGUUAAUGCUAUUUGUGAGGAGCCUAGAAAGAGCAUUAGAUAUCAGAGCUUCUUUCUGGUUUCAAAAUAUCAAUGCAUACAUGUAUAGCAGUGUAUGUGCGGCCAUGGGUAUAUGUACUUGUGUGUGUGCAUUAUAUACACAUUUCUAACGUGGUUGUAGAAGUGAAAUCUGUAUUUGUUACAUUUUCACUACAAUCUAUGCAUUCUCACUAUGAUCUAUAUAGGGCCGCUGCUAUAUUUUUCUUUACAUUGCAUUUUAAACCAAAUAUGUGUUGCUUGUGUGUUUAAAAAAGAGCCAAUACACCUCUGACUUGUUUUUUGAUAUAUGACUCCGCUUACUUGUUUGUUCUGCUCAGAAACUCAAUAAAUACAAUAGGAUUUUUCCUAAACGCCAACUGAAAUCAUAUACUUAAAGGAACUCACUCUAUAGGAAUUUUUGUAUUUUUCAUUAAUAACUUGUCAGUUGUCACCAACUAUAAAAAUUGCCAGUUGGCAACAAAAAUUAUAAUUCCUCAAUUUUAAGACUCUUAGGCAAGAUUAAUGAACAAUGUAAUCACUGUCAUGAUAUAUUGCUAUGCAAUCAUGAAUUUUAUGAGUUGAGAUAAUUUCCCAGUACGUAACUUUGAAGUGGUAGACAUAGAAUAGUGGUGGUAUUCCG